AAAGGGAAAGAAAAAAGAAAGGACCCCGGGGCUAGAACACGAAAAAAAGCCAAGAAAAUGAACGAAACAGAGAAAGGGGAAACAGGGGGGAAGGAGAAAUGUAAAGAAGAAAAAAAACCAGAAGAGAGAGAGGGACCGAGAGAGAGAGAGAGCCAAAAACACGAACCAGAGAAAAGAAAAACAGGGAGAGCACGAACAGAGAAAAAAUCAAGGGAGGAAGAAUGCAACCAAAGUGAACAGGGAAAAAACAGAGAAACUGCAAGCAUUGAUCAGCCGGGGCAUUUGUCUCCAGCUUCAACACUCCGAACCAUCAGAAACAGAAAGAACAAAGCCAGAAGAACGAAGGGGAGGUUGAAACUGGUGUCCGGCUAGUGUCACCCGAUCACACAGAAAGAGCUUCACCAUCGUCUUCGUUCCUGCUUCCAGGAUCUCACCAUUAAAUCAGUACUCCUUCCCGGUCAGAGCAAUGAUGGUCUCUACGUUUUUUCUGAGUCAUCUGCCACUGCUAUUCCUCAAGCGUAUUGGUCUCCUUGUGUCUCUGCGACUGCUAAUAUAUGGCAUCAUCGAUUGAGUCACCCUACUUCCUGUAUUUUUCAUUUGUUAUUUUUCAAAAAUAAAAUAAUGUGUACUUCUAGGCGCUUUCUUGUUCAAUGUCAAGCUUGUUCACUUGGCAAGUCUUUGUGUUUGUCUUUGUGACCCACGAAUCAUAAAACUUCCUCUCCAUUUGAUUUAAUAUUUAGUGAUGUUUGGGGCC